GAAGUCUCCCUGACCGAGAAGGGAGGGCCAGGGUGUAAAGACAGUCAUUUUUUUCUUUUCCCUUUUUCUGCCACGUCCCAACCAUGGACGUAAGCCCACUCCUCGGGUUUCGAUUGGAUAUGUGGAUUCCUCCUGCCCCCACGCAGAGGUCCUUCAAGCCUAUUGGUCGUUGCUGUCCUGGGGGCGGGGCUUGGGUGUCCUCCUCCUUCUCCUCUACCGCGGCGCAAGGGGCGGGAUCCGCCGCCUCCUCCUUUGCUUCCGCCGCCGCUGUCGCUGCUGCCGCUGCGGCCACCUGCCGCUGCGCGUUCGGCGGGGGAGGAGUCGGAGGCGGAGAAGAAGGCGGUGGUGGCGGGUGGAGGACCCAGCGCUGCUCUCGCUCCGGAGCCGCUGCACAGAUCGAGGGAGCUGGGCCUGUCCCUGGCCCGCUGCGCCGGCCAUGGUGGGUGGGGUUGAUGGCUGUAAGAGGCCUUCUUCGCCUCCUGGGCCCUGUCUAGCCCGGACCCGGGGCCGCACUUCUGUCAGUGGCCGCCGCGCCCGCUGCCCCCGGCGGAUGACAUAGCACCAUUCCAUCUAUGCUCCCCCUCCACUAACGAUGUCGGGUCAGAGCACGCCUCUGGGAGAUGUACCUUCAUUCGUGGCCUCCUUAAGAUUACUGCUUUUAGUCAUUUUGCGCACAUCCAAAAUGGUGAGUUUAAAGCUGCUCAGACCAAGUUAAAGAAAAGAGGAGGAGGUAAAGAAGAAUACUCUAUUUAGGAGAUUUCCC